rnacentral:rRNA from 1 species
AGCGAACGCUGGCGGCAGGCCUAACACAUGCAAGUCGAACGAACCUUUCGGGGUUAGUGGCGGACGGGUGAGUAACACGUGGGAACGUGCCUUUAUGUUCGGAAUAACUCAGGGAAACUUGUGCUAAUACCGAAUGUGCCCUUCGGGGGAAAGAUUAAUCGCCUUUAGAGCGGCCCGCGUCUGAUUAGCUAGUUGGUUGAGGUAAUGGCUCACCAAGGCGACGAUCAGUAGCUGGUCUGAGAGGAUGAUCAGCCACAUUGGGACUGAGACACGGCCCAAACUCCUACGGGAGGCAGCAGUGGGGAAUCUUGCGCAAUGGGCGAAAGCCUGACGCAGCCAUGCCGCGUGAAUGAUGAAGGUCUUAGGAUUGUAAAAUUCUUUCACCGGGGACGAUAAUGACGGUACCCGGAGAAGAAGCCCCGGCUAACUUCGUG